UGUUUGGGGGCAUCUGAACCAAAGGAUAGAGCUUCAUUAGUUAAAAUACGCACUUAGGAAUGUAUUUCCCAUAUUGAUACCAAUGCAUGAAGAUACAUCUUCAUCUGCACUCUGCAUCUUACUUUAAAGGGUCCAGUAUCUUUCAGCUCUGUGCAGAUACCUCAUAUAACCUCAGGCACCUCAACUAGGCCUAGACACCUGUGAUAGUUUCGGUCUAGGCCUUCCUGGAGACCAGCUUGUAACCAGGGAAGUACCCUAUGCUCCCAGUAUUCCAUGCUAUCCUUUACGUAACCAGAGGUAUAAAUGAGAAAGGAAGAGAAGCCUUCGCUCUCUUCUCUUCCAGUGAGGUUCAGGAACAGUAAGUCACCGCAUUGGUCUCACUUAUCUGGAAGCUGAGGCCUGCAGCGACUGCUGUUGCCUGCCAUGUGGGAGGUGGAGAGAUUUGACUGUGUCUGGUGACCCUGCUUUCCUUGAGGGAAGUGAGAUUUUCUCCCAGACCUAUCAGUAAAAUGUGAGGCACACCUUUGGAACAGAAGAGGUUAUAAACGGUGUGACUGCACUGGCAUAGCGAUCCUGUUUGAGGCAUAUAAAGCUGGACCAAAUGAUAAUUUUAUCAUCAUCUUAUUUGUUCCCAUGGCAGAAAAGAGCAAAGAAGGGCUGCAGAGAACAAACCACUGUGACACACUUAGGAGUUCUUUCCAUGCCUCUGAUU